GCCCAGGUAGCUCAGUUGGUAGAGCAGCGGACUGAAAAUCCGCGUGUCGCUGGUUCGAUUCCGGCCCUGGGCA
rnacentral:tRNA from 2 species